UGACCCAGGCAGAAAUCGAACUCGCAUCUAUCUCUUUCCAGGCACUUGUCCUACCGAUUGUACCACCGUACC